rnacentral:rRNA from 1 species
AUUGAACGCUGGCGGCAUGCCUUACACAUGCAAGUCGAACGGUAACAGGUCUUCGGAUGCUGACGAGUGGCGAACGGGUGAGUAAUACGUCGGAACGUGCCCGAUCGUGGGGGAUAACGAAGCGAAAGCUUUGCUAAUACCGCAUAAGAUCUACGGAUGAAAGCAGGGGACCGCAAGGCCUUGCGCGAACGGAGCGGCCGAUGGCAGAUUAGGUAGUUGGUGGGAUAAAAGCUUACCAAGCCGACGAUCUGUAGCUGGUCUGAGAGGACGACCAGCCACACUGGGACUGAGACACGGCCCAGACUCCUACGGGAGGCAGCAGUGGGGAAUUUUGGACAAUGGGCGAAAGCCUGAUCCAGCCAUGCCGCGUGCAGGAUGAAGGCCUUCGGGUUGUAAACUGCUUUUGUACGGAACGAAAAGACUCUGGUUAAUACCUGGGGUCCAUGACGGUACCGUAAGAAUAAGCACCGGCUAACUACGUG